rnacentral:piRNA from 1 species
UGUGAAAUGGGUGGGCCGAGGGCAG